CUUAAAUGGAUUUCUUCGGAUUGAAGUUUUUGUGACUGAGUGGCGGACGGGUGAGUAACGCGUGGGUAACCUGCCUCAUACAGGGGGAUAACAGUUAGAAAUAGCUGCUAAUACCGCAUAAGCGCACGGUUCCGCAUGGAACAGUGUGAAAAACUCCGGUGGUGUGAGAUGGACCCGCGUCUGAUUAGCCAGUUGGCGGGGUAACGGCCCACCAAAGCGACGAUCAGUAGCCGGCCUGAGAGGGUGAACGGCCACAUUGGGACUGAGACACGGCCCAAACUCC
rnacentral:rRNA from 1 species